GCACUGUUGCAGCGGUACUAAAGGUAUCAUUUGACUAACAAUUAGUUAUUCUCAUAUAAAUAUUAGUGUGUGCAUCACUAUAUUAUCAAUACAAAUUAAGGACACAUGGUUGUUCUUGUCUUCAAAAGAAAUUUUCUUUCAACUCUUAAGACUGUUGAACCUAGGACAGAGGAAUGAUUCUAGAUGUUAUACUUCCCCUUUCUCUGAAACUGUUAUUCAUACAAGAUGAUUGUUUCUGUUAUAGCAGUCAGAAUGAUCUCCAUUGUUAAAAUGCACAUGAUUUUUUUUUAUUCAUUUUUUAUUUGGCGAAGCACAUUGUAUGUCCUCUUAUUGCACCUUAUAAAACUUUGUAAUUCCUUUCCCAUACGUGCAAAAUAUUGCCUUAAU
rnacentral:misc_RNA from 1 species